GAUGAACGCUGACAGAAUGCUUAACACAUGCAAGUCAACUUGAACUUCGGUUUGGGUGGCGGACGGGUGAGUAACGCGUAAAGAACUUGCCUCACAGCUAGGGACAACAUUUGGAAACGAAUGCUAAUACCUGAUAUUAUGAUUAUAUGGCAUCGUAUAAUUAUGAAAGCUAUAUGCGCUGUGAGAGAGCUUUGCGUCCCAUUAGCUAGUUGGAGAGGUGACAGCUCACCAAGGCGAUGAUGGGUAGCCGGCCUGAGAGGGUGAUCGGCCACAAGGGGACUGAGACACGGCCCUUACUCCUACGGGAGGCAGCAGUGGGGAAUAUUGGACAAUGGACCGAGAGUCUGAUCCAGGAAUUCUGUGUGCACGAUGAAGUUUUUCGGAAUGUAAAGUGCUUUCAGUUGGGAAGAAAAAAAUGACGGUACCAACAGAAGAAGUGACGGCUAAAUACGUG
rnacentral:rRNA from 1 species